rnacentral:rRNA from 1 species
AACGAACGCUGGCGGCAUGCCUAACACAUGCAAGUCGAACGAGACCUUCGGGUCUAGUGGCGCACGGGUGCGUAACGCGUGGGAACCUGCCCUUAGGUUCGGAAUAACGCCUCGAAAGGGGUGCUAAUACCGGAUAAUGUCUUCGGACCAAAGAUUUAUCGCCUUUGGAUGGGCCCGCGUUGGAUUAGCUAGUUGGUGGGGUAAAGGCCUACCAAGGCGACGAUCCAUAGCUGGUCUUAGAGGAUGAUCAGCCACACUGGGACUGAGACACGGCCCAGACUCCUACGGGAGGCAGCAGUGGGGAAUAUUGGACAAUGGGCGAAAGCCUGAUCCAGCAAUGCCGCGUGAGUGAUGAAGGCCUUAGGGUUGUAAAGCUCUUUUACCCGGGAUGAUAAUGACAGUACCGGGAGAAUAAGCUCCGGCUAACUCCGUG